GCAAACACAACAAGCGGCUCUUUCAAUGCCCAGAAGAGAAUCUCACUAGUUUGCCUCAAACGCUGGUUCAAAUGAUUUCGCCGGGUUUGCUGCGCGAUUCAACACCACGGGAAAUGCUAUUUUCCUGCCACAACAACAAUUUCACCCCCGAGAUACCAACUAAGCAUCAAACUAAUUACCCAAAAAUCACUCAUUCUGCCUCUCCGGACAAUUCCAGAGGAGCCACCACAUCGCUGGACUCACGAUAUUGUGACGUGUGUGUUUGCAAGUGCAGAAAAGUAUGAACGAGACAGAGUGAGAAAAGACGCGAUUGUGUUUUCUUCAAAAAAAUAAAAAUAAAAAAAAGGAUUUAUCAGGAUUUCUACGUGAUAACUUCAGCAAUCCUCAAACAACACCCAAAAUUCUUCCGCCACUCAUUAGUGGUGGCACUUGUAUGGUGAAAAAGUGUUCGAAUGUGUUGGAAGAAAAUGAAUUUUCUACUAUAAGAAAAUCCAAAAGAGUUUUUGGAGAGAUUUUUGUGUAAGUCAAGUUUCAGUGGAAAGUGCAGAAAAAUUCUGCAGAAAUAAAGGAAAAGAAAAAACGCGGUAAUUCACAAACAAUUGUGAAAAGGAUCGUAAAGUAUCCUGUAUGGUGUGACGUAUCUCAGUGAUAACACUUAAGUGAAAGACAAAAAGUGCAACUGUAAGCAUUUAAUCAACGUACACCGUAUUCUUGUGACAAGAGUUUGAAAAUCAGAUAAAUCUGAGCAACUGAAAGUGAUUAAAGGUUCCUGCUAAAGAGAUAUACAUUAAAUUACCAAAAAAAACAGGCUCAAGACUCGGCAAGUGUGUGUGAAAUUUUCUAAAACCCCUGUAAAAUGGCCGACGACAAUGGUUAGACAAGAAGAAUUAUCGUAAGUGUUUAAUUAUUAUCAUAUAUAUCCACUUUUUUGUUAUAUUAGUUCCUAAAAUCAUAAACAGAAAUCCUUAAAUGCCUUACUCAUUGAUCAAAACAUCAGUCAAGAUCGAGAAUGCGCUGAAGUAUAAAGCCAAGUUAGAUAAAAACGAAAAAGCAUAAGAAACUUUCAUUUCUAACUGUUACAUUUGUAAAGAAAUGUAAUAAAUUAAAGUGAAAGAGAAAAUUAUGAAUUACCUUAAAGUUACGUUCUACAAGUAUACAGGCAUAUAUAUGCACAUCUUUUGCCUGUAUUAAAGUACAAAAAAAUCCGCUAUAAGCUAGUUUAAAAAAAAAUACGCAAAGCAAAUUUGCAAAAUAAAAAAAGAUCAGGAAGUAUCUAAAAGUGUUCCUGUGGAACUUUUCGCGCACCCACGAAGUACUUCUGGUGUCCAGCCCGGAAAGAAAGAAUUUCAACAAAUACUGAUUUUGUGUCACUUCCGUGGAUGACAUCGCUUUUUCUCCUUCUUUUUUUUCUGAACUUUUUGAUCAUCAGAGCAUUGGCCUCGUGUGACCCCUUCGAGAGCGCGCCUUUUGCGUUCUUGCUGUGACUCCUCUUUUUUUUCGAAUAAGAAGCACCAAGACAAUAAAGUGUAAGAAGAAAAAAAGUCGAGAAGAAUCUAAGAGCACGAUCGUGAACCUACCAUGUUUUCUCCCUCGCAAGUGCCAUCAAUUGACCUCACAGCACUUCUCGAGGUCAUCUCAGGUAAUUUACGGAAUCUUCUUUGUUCAAUUAGUUGCAAUUGCAUUAUAGUCCCCCAGAAUAAACAUGUUGAACAUUGCAAGCAUCAUGUAAAAUUUCUUCUUAAAGAUUAUGGUACAUUUUAGGGUAUUUCUACGUUGAAUUAUUAAAAAGUAAUAAGUUUCAAUUUUUUCCAAAUCACAUGAAUUGCUUUUUAUACCACUUCAUAAAGAAGUUAACUUAUCGUGAAUGGAAACAUUUGAUUAUCAUUCAAAAUAGAUCGAAUCAGAUGAUUUUUGCGUUGAGCGCAAAGCGAAAGAACGCGUACAGCAAAGGUGAAAGAACUCUGAAAAAAUGACAACACAUUGUGAAAUGUACCGAUAAGAAAAUCGAGGUUUAAUGUCUUCAAGUUUAAUCGUUUCAAGGGUUAAGGUGGAAGAUGUAUCACUCUUCUUACAAAACACAUUACUCAUUUCAACAGGGAGUGCAAUAACUUCAGAGAGAAAUGGGGAAAGAUUUUCAAAGGAGAAAAUUGAAUGUAAUUUUGGGGGUAUUCAUGAAUCCUUUUAUGAUCCGAAAGGAAUGUGAAAGUAACAAAAGAACUUUGCAGAUUGGUCGACCAUAUAAGAUUUCUGUAUUAAAACUUGGCUUAGACUUUGAUGUUUCGAAAAAUUUUGCACUACUAAAUAAGGGAAAGCGCACUAUCUACGGACAACUCACUUUUUUAUGUUCCUUAUAGAUUUUGUUCAUAGCUCUUUUCUGGAAAUUUGAAGCAUUGAACUAGCUAUUAAUGGACCUAAUUAAUAAAAAAAGAAACAAGCAAAAGAAUUAUUCGAAGCUUGAAUCGUCCGAAUGUAGCGCGCUUGCCCCUAUUAUUUCUUGGGAAGAGCAUACAGUUUCCAUAUUUACUCACAAAAAAAUCCUCUCCAUGGUUUUUCGUUAAUUUGUUAUUUUGAAAACAGAAAAUACAGGAGGUUAAUGGCAUUACAUGGAUAAAAUCUGUUCCUAAAUCUAAAAAAGAAGAAA